rnacentral:rRNA from 1 species
CAGUAGCCGCGGUAAUACGAAGGGGGCUAGCGUUGUUCGGAAUUACUGGGCGUAAAGGGCGCGUAGGCGGUUUGGCAAGUCUUGUGUGAAAUCUUCGGGCUCAACCCGAAGCCUGCACAGGAAACUGUCGGGCUUGAGAAUGGGAGAGGUGAGUGGAAUUUCCGGUGUAGCGGUGAAAUGCGUAGAUAUCGGAAGGAACACCUGUGGCGAAAGCGGCUCACUGGACCAUUUCUGACGCUGAUGCACGAAAGCUAGGGGAGCAAACAGGAUUAGAUACCCCUGUAGUCCCUGUCUCUUAUAA